ACUAGAGUUUGGAUCCACUGUAAAUCCACUUUACAUUUACUUUGGGGGGAGGCUUUAAACAGUUCAGCCGGACAGGUCCAGGGCCUCACCAAACUACAAACCCCAGAAUUCUGCAGGAGGCAGAAACCGGAUUUAAAGUGGAUCCAUGCUCUGGUGUGAUGCAGCAGUAAGGGGUCCCCCAUUGCCUCGCCCCUUUUCUUGAGGGACACAAACUUUCCACAUUCCGUUUAUAUUAUAACAUAAUACCCAGGCCCCUUCCACGGAGCUGAAUAAAAUUCCACAUUACCUGAAUUGGAAUACAGUAGAGUCUCGCUUAUCCAACAUUCUGGAUUAUCCAACGCAUUUUUGUAGUCAAUGUUUUUGUAGUCAAUGUUUUCAAUAUAUCGUGAUAUUUUGGUGCUAAAGUCGUAAAUACGGUAAUUGCUACAUAGCAUUACUGUGUAUUGAACUACUUUUUCUGUCAAAUUUGUUGUCUAACAUGAUGUUUUGGUGCUUAAUUUGAAAAAUCAUAACCUAAUUUGAUGUUUAAUAGGCUUUUCCUUAAUCUCUCCUUAUUAUCCAACAUAUUCGCUUAUCCAACGUUCAGCCGGCCCGUUUAUGUUGGAUAAGUGAGACUCUACUGUAUAUGAUAAACCAGUUCAAAGUCCAUAUCGUGGGAUUUUCUGCCUUGAUAUUCUGUGUUACAGGGCUGAGUGGAAGGGCGUCCAGUUAAAAGAAAAGUUGCUGUAAAAAAAAAAAAAAAGGGCGGGCUUACUUCCGGGUUAUUUCCACCAAAAGAAAAGCUUCAGAGAAAAAAGAGCGGGAGUAUAACCACUCUUUCUUUGUCCUGCGUCUGAAGCAAGAAAAAGCCCCUCAGCACAGAGCAGCAGCCCAAAGAAAUGCUUUAUUUUCAGAGGAAAUGGCGCAUUCGCGUGAAAAAAAUAAUAAACCACCAUUUUCCUGUGAGGCAACAAACGCUCCCCUCCCCCCGCCACCAUCAAAUCCUCCAUUGUCCCUUUCUUUUGACACUAGAGAUAGGAGGAAAUUCAUCACAGCCUAUGAACAGUUCCAAAAAGUGGCAGUGGUCAAACUGGGAUCUAUUCAGGAAUUAUUUCACUCAUCUUUAGUUAUCUGAGGUUAUUGAUAAUCUGCUGUUCCAGAGAGUCAUCAAAAUAAUUCUCAAGGAUGCAGCUGGCUUUGGUUCCUCAUUCUCAUCUGUGAACAAAUUUAAUUGUUUUUCUUGUGGAAUGUGAGAAGCUUGACCCUGAACAAAUGUUUCUCUGCAAUCAGCUCAGGUGAAAAAGCCCUGUUACCCAGGGAACCAUGGUUAUUUAUUUAUGAGCAUGCAUGACACCAACAUUUUGAUGACCAUGAUGCAAGGAAGCAGGCAGAUAUCCUCAGGGUAAAACUGUCCAGGACUGCUGUGGGAAAUGAACACAGACUAGAAUAAUAUCAAUCAAACUAAUUGCCCAAUAAGGUGACCACUAUCAACAUUAUAUCUAUGUAAAGCAGGGCCAGAAGACUUGUACAAUAUGGGAUGUUUUCAAAACUUCUUGUGAGAGUCUAAUCUGAUGGUGUAGUGGCAAAGAGCUGUGGGAAGGAUAGAACAACAACUGAGUCUUUAUGUUCAAACUAGUACUUAAAUCCUAGUCAAAGGCAUCUUCAAGGACCACAAACAGGAAGUUGUCCUGGUUCAGCUAUGAACAGAAUGUGAGAGCCAUACACACCACAGUCUGUCAGUGAUAAGCCUCUAUUAGUGUAUAUACCGUGCUGUUCUGCGGUGGGAAGAUUCCUGGCUUGCAUGAAUUUACUUUGUUUUUUUCCACCACAAUGCUGAGAUCCACUAACCCUCGCCUGGUCCAAAAGACACAAACCUAGAAUUAAAUGACACUGAGCUCAGGAAUUUGUUUUGAGUACUAAAGAAGAACAGAGCUCACAGCCACUGGACACAAAAAUGUUAUGCUCCCCCCAUUCCCUCAUUUCAACAGUAUAGUUGGUUGAGUUGAAGAAGGCACACAGUCAUAUUUUUGCUGCUAUUGUUAGAGGUGGAAGUGAGAAAUCCUUGAUAGCUGCAAAGCAUCCAGAGAUCUCCCCUGGAUCCAGCUCAAUUUCCUGCCCACACUCCUUAAUAUAGUGUCCUAAACACAGAUUGCUUUUGGGGGUUCCAUUUUUCAGCUCCAAAUGUAUCUCUCUCCAGGGACACCUAAUUUGCAUCCUGUGAGCUGAGCUUUGUUUCUGGGUAAAGGCAUGACUACGCCUGCAUUCUUGAUGUUUUUAAAACAAUCAGUUCACUGUCCUCUUUUUUAAAGCUUGGAAAUUACUGGGACUUGAUUGCUGACAUUAGUUUUUUUUUCUUGCAUGAUUUGAAUAGAAACAUAAAGGCAGCCUUCUGCAACAAAGUCUAAAAAGAAUGUGGUG
ensembl:lncRNA